rnacentral:rRNA from 1 species
UACGUAGGGUGCAGGCGUUAAUCGGAAUUACUGGGCGUAAAGCGCGCGCAGGCGGUCCUUUAAGUCUGAUGUGAAAGCCCACGGCUCAACCGUGGAGGGUCAUUGGAAACUGGGGGACUUGAGUGCAGAAGAGGAGAGUGGAAUUCCACGUGUAGCGGUGAAAUGCGUAGAGAUGUGGAGGAACACCAGUGGCGAAGGCGACUCUCUGGGACGGUACUGACGCUGAGACGCGAAAGCGUGGGGAGCAAACAGG